rnacentral:rRNA from 1 species
GAUGAACGCUGGCGGCGUGCCUAAUACAUGCAAGUCAAGCGAACAGACGAGGAGCUUGCUCCUUUGACGUUAGCGGCGGACGGGUGAGUAACACGUGGAUAACCUACCUAUAAGACUGGGAUAACUUCGGGAAACCGGAGCUAAUACCGGAUAACAUGUUGAACCGCAUGGUUCAACAGUGAAAGACGGUCUUGCUGUCACUUAUAGAUGGAUCCGCGCCGCAUUAGCUAGUUGGUAAGGUAACGGCUUACCAAGGCAACGAUGCGUAGCCGACCUGAGAGGGUGAUCGGCCACACUGGAACUGAGACACGGUCCAGACUCCUACGGGAGGCAGCAGUAGGGAAUCUUCCGCAAUGGGCGAAAGCCUGACGGAGCAACGCCGCGUGAGUGAAGAAGGUCUUCGGAUCGUAAAACUCUGUUAUUAGGGAAGAACAAAUGUGUAAGUAACUAUGCACGUCUUGACGGUACCUAAUCAGAAAGCCACGGCUAACUACGUG